UCCUCCAGAUUCAGAGUCAUUUAUCCCCUUGAGCUACAAGCUAAUUCCCAUGGAUAUGAAGGGGAAUUUUGUGCAUGGAUAAAGAGCACAAUGUAGCCCAAGUCCAUACACCAGGUUUUCCACCAUGUAACUAUUUCAGCAAGGGUACCUUUUGGAGCACGGAAGUCUGUACAGUCCCUAGGCUUUCCCUGGAGUUAAUGUGCGAGCAUGAGAAUGAGAAAUUGUCAAGUGUGGAACAGAAGGCACAGCUGAUGGUGGAGACUAUGGAGUUAACAGACAUACAGAGGAAACCACUUGUCCCCCGACAUGAUGGACCUUUUCUAGUCAUCGCAAGCAAGUUCCAUUAUUAAGGAAAUCUAACUGAGAAGCAUUAUCCAAGGUCAUGGGAUUACCCUGGUGGAUCUAAAAACCUGAACUUACAAGAGGUGGCUUAAGGAAGCAGCAUGCAUGGAGGCUUCAAAAAACAAAAAUCUGCACUUCUCUUGACAAGACCGUUCAGGUGCAGUUGGGCCACUUAUUGAGGAAACAAGUGAAAAGGAGACAAAUGAUAGGUCAAGACACAGCCCCAGUGAACGCAGGUGGACCCUUCUCCAAGGAAGAACAUUGGAGUUGCCAUCCUGGCCCCAUUAGUGGCCAAUUACUCAAUGAUCCAAAGAAAGGUGAGAGUCCUGUUACCAUGGCCUUACCCUCUCCCCCAUAUUACAUCCGUCUUUUGCAUUCCAUUCUUAAUUAUUUUAUAAGCUCUUAGU